CCCUUAGAUGUUCUGGGCCGCACGCGCGCUACACUGAUGCAUUCAACGAGUCUAAAACCUGGUCUGAUAGGGCUGGGUAAUCUUUUGAAUGUGCAUCGUGAUUGGGAUAGAUGAUUGCAAUUCUUCAUCUUCAACGAGGGAUGCCUAGUAAACGCAAGUCAUCAGCUUGCAUUGAUUACGUCCCUGCCCUUUGUACACACCGCCCGUCGCUCCUACCGAUUGAAUGUUCCGAUGAAUACCAUGGACUGAGAGUAUGAAUGGGUUCGCCUAUUUCUGCUUCUCGGGAAGUGGAGUAAAUCUUAACAUUUAGAGGAAGGAGAAGUCGUAACA
rnacentral:rRNA from 1 species